rnacentral:rRNA from 1 species
CCUACGGGUGGCAGCAGUGAGGAAUAUUGGUCAAUGGACGCAAGUCUGAACCAGCCAUGCCGCGUGCAGGAAGACGGCUCUAUGAGUUGUAACCUGCUUUUGUACGAGGGUAAACGCAGAUACGCGUAUCUUUCUGAACGUAUCCUACGAAUAAGGAUCGGCUAACUCCGUUCCAGCAGCCGCGGUAAUACGGAGGAUUCAAGCGUUAUCCGGAUUUAUUGGGUUUAAAGGGUGCGUAGGCGGUAGGAUAAGUUAGAGGUGAAAUCCCGAGGCUCAACUUCGGGAUUGCCUCUGAUACUGUGCGGCUAGAGAGUAGUAGCGGUAGGCGGAAUGUAGGGUGUAGCGGUGAAAUGCUUAGAGAUCAUACAGAACACCGAUGGCGAAGGCAGCUUACCAGGCUACAACUGACGUUGAGGCACGAAAGCGUGGGGAGCAAACAGGAUUAGAUACCCCUGUAGUC